UUAAGCGACUAAGCGUACACGGUGGAUGCCCUGGCAGUCAGAGGCGAUGAAGGACGUGCUAAUCUGCGAAAAGCGUCGGUAAGGUGAUAUGAACCGUUAUAACCGGCGAUGUCCGAAUGGGGAAACCCAGUGCAAUUCGUUGCACUAUCGUUAACUGAAUACAUAGGUUAACGAGGCGAACCGGGGGAACUGAAACAUCUAAGUACCCCGAGGAAAAGAAAUCAACCGAGAUUCCCCCAGUAGCGGCGAGCGAACGGGGAGCAGCCCGGAGUCUGAAUCAGCUUGUGUGUUAGUGGAAGCGUCUGGAAAGUCGCAGGGUACAGGGUGAUACUCCCGUACACUAAAACACACAGGCUGUGAACUCGAAGAGUAGGGCGGGACACGUGGUAUCCUGUCUGAAUAUGGGGGGACCAUCCUCCAAGGCUAAAUACUCCUGACUGACCGAUAGUGAACCAGUACCGUGAGGGAAAGGCGAAAAGAACCCCGGCGAGGGGAGUGAAAAAGAACCUGAAACCGUGUACGUACAAGCAGUAGGAGCCCACGAGUUGGGUGACUGCGUACCUUUUGUAUAAUGGGUCAGCGACUUAUAUUCUGUAGCAAGGUUAACCGUAUAGGGGAGCCGCAGGGAAACCGAGUCUUAACUGGGCGUUAAGUUGCAGGGUAUAGACCCGAAACCCGGUGAUCUAGCCAUGGGCAGGUUGAAGGUUGGGUAACACUAACUGGAGGACCGAACCGACUAAUGUUGAAAAAUUAGCGGAUGACUUGUGGCUGGGGGUGAAAGGCCAAUCAAACCGGGAGAUAGCUGGUUCUCCCCGAAAGCUAUUUAGGUAGCGCCUCGUGAACUCAUCUUCGGGGGUAGAGCACUGUUUCGGCUAGGGGGUCAUCCCGACUUACCAACCCGAUGCAAACUACGAAUACCGAAGAAUGUUAUCACGGGAGACACACGGCGGGUGCUAACGUCCGUCGUGAAGAGGGAAACAACCCAGACCGCCAGCUAAGGUCCCAAAGUCAUGGUUAAGUGGGAAACGAUGUGGGAAGGCCCAGACAGCCAGGAUGUUGGCUUAGAAGCAGCCAUCAUUUAAAGAAAGCGUAAUAGCUCACUGGUCGAGUCGGCCUGCGCGGAAGAUGUAACGGGGCUAAACCAUGCACCGAAGCUGCGGCAGCGACACUAUGUGUUGUUGGGUAGGGGAGCGUUCUGUAAGCCGUUGAAGGUGGCCUGUGAGGGUUGCUGGAGGUAUCAGAAGUGCGAAUGCUGACAUAAGUAACGAUAAUGCGGGUGAAAAACCCGCACGCCGGAAGACCAAGGGUUCCUGUCCAACGUUAAUCGGGGCAGGGUGAGUCGACCCCUAAGGCGAGGCCGAAAGGCGUAGUCGAUGGGAAACAGGUUAAUAUUCCUGUACUUGGUGUUACUGCGAAGGGGGGACGGAGAAGGCUAUGUUGGCCGGGCGACGGUUGUCCCGGUUUAAGCAUGUAGGCGGAUGUUCCAGGUAAAUCCGGAACGUCAUUAACGCUGAGGUGUGAUGACGAGGCACUACGGUGCUGAAGUGACAAAUGCCCUGCUUCCAGGAAAAGCCUCUAAGCAUCAGGUAACAUCAAAUCGUACCCCAAACCGACACAGGUGGUCAGGUAGAGAAUACCAAGGCGCUUGAGAGAACUCGGGUGAAGGAACUAGGCAAAAUGGUGCCGUAACUUCGGGAGAAGGCACGCUGAUGGUAGGUGAAGUGACUUGCUCAUGGAGCUGAAAUCAGUCGAAGAUACCAGCUGGCUGCAACUGUUUAUUAAAAACACAGCACUGUGCAAACACGAAAGUGGACGUAUACGGUGUGACGCCUGCCCGGUGCCGGAAGGUUAAUUGAUGGGGUUAUCCUCACGGAGAAGCUCUUGAUCGAAGCCCCGGUAAACGGCGGCCGUAACUAUAACGGUCCUAAGGUAGCGAAAUUCCUUGUCGGGUAAGUUCCGACCUGCACGAAUGGCGUAAUGAUGGCCAGGCUGUCUCCACCCGAGACUCAGUGAAAUUGAACUCGCUGUGAAGAUGCAGUGUACCCGCGGCAAGACGGAAAGACCCCGUGAACCUUUACUAUAGCUUGACACUGAACACUGGUCCUUGAUGUGUAGGAUAGGUGGGAGGCUUUGAAGUGUGGACGCCAGUCUGCAUGGAGCCGUCCUUGAAAUACCACCCUUUAAUGGCUGGUGUUCUAACGUGGGCCCGUAAUCCGGGUUGCGGACAGUGUCUGGUGGGUAGUUUGACUGGGGCGGUCUCCUCCUAAAGAGUAACGGAGGAGCACGAAGGUCAGCUAAUCCUGGUCGGACAUCAGGAGGUUAGUGCAAUGGCAUAAGCUGGCUUGACUGCGAGCGUGACGGCGCGAGCAGGUGCGAAAGCAGGUCAUAGUGAUCCGGUGGUUCUGAAUGGAAGGGCCAUCGCUCAACGGAUAAAAGGUACUCCGGGGAUAACAGGCUGAUACCGCCCAAGAGUUCAUAUCGACGGCGGUGUUUGGCACCUCGAUGUCGGCUCAUCACAUCCUGGGGCUGAAGUAGGUCCCAAGGGUAUGGCUGUUCGCCAUUUAAAGUGGUACGCGAGCUGGGUUUAGAACGUCGUGAGACAGUUCGGUCCCUAUCUGCCGUGGGCGCUGGAGAAUUGAGGGGGGCUGCUCCUAGUACGAGAGGACCGGAGUGGACGCAUCACUGGUGUUCGGGUUGUCAUGCCAAUGGCAUUGCCCGGUAGCUAAAUGCGGAAGAGAUAAGUGCUGAAAGCAUCUAAGCACGAAACUUGCCCCGAGAUGAGUUCUCCCUGACUCCUUGAGAGUCCUGAAGGAACGUUGAAGACGACGACGUUGAUAGGCCGGGUGUGUAAGCGCAGCGAUGCGUUGAGCUAACCGGUACUAAUGAACCGUGAGGCUUAACCUU
rnacentral:rRNA from 1 species